rnacentral:misc_RNA from 1 species
GGAAGUAAAAGCCGUAACAAGGUUUCCGUUGGUGAACCUGCGGAAGGAUCAUUAAAGUUAUAGUCCCCCGGCCCCUCCGGGCUGGGGUCUUCUAUACCACCCUUUGUUUAUUACACCUUUGUUGCUUUGGCAGGCCUGCCCUCGGGCUGCUGGCUCCGGCCGGCUCGUGCCUGCCAGAGGACCUAAACUCUGUUUGUAUAUGAAGUCUGAGUACUAUAUAAUAGUUAAAACUUUCAACAACGGAUCUCUUGGUUCUG